GGCAGCCAAUCAGAACUGGGGAUGCUCUUCGCUCCAUUGUGAAGAAUGGCCUUCGAUCUUCCAGUUCUUAAGAUUCUGGGUAGAGCCCCGGGAAGGGAGGUGGGUCUGAGUCUCUGUUUUCAAGACACCAGGAUCUCCCUUUGCAUGGAAAGACCAUGGCUAGGAAGCGGCUAGACCGCCCACAGACUAAAGAAGAGCGAGCGUUUUAUGCUCGGAGUUACUUCUUCUUGACACUCAUUGCACUGAUUUUUUUCCCACCCUUCGGAUUGAUAGCCGUCUACUUCAGCCGCCAGACCAGAGAGGCCAAUAAAUGCAGCGACUGGGAAGACGCUUAUUUGAACUCAUCUCGAACUAUUUGGAUGGACGUGCUCGCCAUUUUGGCGGGUUUAGGCAUCAUUUACGCAUAUGUCCUGUUUGUAUGACUGCUAGCCUCAGCAUCCACCGGCCCCGCUCCCCAGCAGACACGCCCGCUUAGACAUUGACCAGCCACCAAGAAGAAACUCAGAGCUUCUGACAUCCCUUAGCCAAGAAGCCCACCAACCAAAAAGCUGAACACCCAAGCAACACACCAGCUCCAGAAGCCCCGAGGCCGCCUGCCCACGCGACACCAGCUCACUGUCAUUUGACCAGCUGUUUCUCCGUCUACCUUGGAGGCCCACACUCAAGUCCUAAACCUGCGUAAGCCACUGAGCGGCUCUUUCCUGAAAAGAAAAAUCAUAUUUCUUAGCCCAAUAAAAUUGGAGGGAAUAUUCUGGCUUCA